UCCCUUGUGGCUCAGCUGGUAAAGAAUCCGCCUGCAAUGCGGGAGACCUGGGUUCAAUCCCUGGCUUGGGAA
rnacentral:tRNA from 1 species